ACAAGUCGGAACGGGGUAUAGACGCCGUUUGAAGCUUCGGCAGAAAACAUGUCUAUACUUAGUGGCGAACGGGUGAGUAACGCGUGGGCAACCUGCCCCGUACCGGGGGAUAGCAGUUGGAAACGACUGAUAAUACCGCAUAAGCGCACGGUCUCGCAUGGGACAGUGUGAAAAACUCCGGUGGUACGGGAUGGGCCCGCGUCUGAUUAGCCAGUUGGCGGGGUAACGGCCCACCAAAGCGACGAUGUCUAGGGGAACUGAGAGGUUAAUCCCCCACACUGGAACUGAGACACGGUCCAGACUCC
rnacentral:rRNA from 1 species